GAUGAUCUACUGUAACACAUUGUACUUUCCCUACUUCACGGCGAACAGAACUCCAUACACUACUCCAGUUAUGGUCUUACCACGGGUCGAUACAGGGAUUUCCUCAGAGAGAGAGAGAGAGCAGGUUAUAGAGAAAUGAGAAGAAAAGAGAUUUUAGAUGUUUUCUCUUUGCAGGCCAUGAGCUUUCUGCUGCACUGGUACCACACAAAACCCUGGUCAUUUGGUCAGGAGCCAAUUAAAAUGCUGUUGUCAGGCAGCUUCCUUGGUCUAGGACUCUUUUCCGGCACCAUCCUGUCUUUCAUGUCACACUCUAUUCCAGGACUACAAUAUUGUUUAUAUCUCUCAUCCUGUCCCUGUUGACAUGUUUUUCAACCUGCAGUCAUUGUGAUUCUACCACAGUCCAACAGAAAAUAAAAAGAUAUGUUCUUUACAACAGUUCAGCAGAAAUAAGAAGAUAUGUUCCUUACGUUGUGGAAACUUGCAAAUUACUGUGUUUUCUACAUUACAACAUUACUUUUCAUUCCCUCAAAUGUUUUGGAACAUUUCUGAGGUUGUGAAAGGUGCUGUAUAUAUAAGUUCUUUCUAAGGUGUUUGAGAAGUAUGUUGAUUGCUCUCUUUCAGUUGACUCUUAUUUUCUCUGACACAGUAGGAAAAUAACAUUUUUGCAGGUUGGGUAUAGUUGUUCAUUUUUGCCAUUCCUAAAUUAAAACACCUGAAACCUGAAUUUUAUUUACUUCAUGAUUCUAACAGUUACAUAAUGUAAAAAAGUUUGAGAAAAAUGUUGCCGAUUAGAAUUGUUGGCUAUGCCAACAAAAAUAUUGUUUGAAUUUGAUAUGCAGGUUAAUCCAGAAUACUGUACCAGAACACACUAUCUGUUGAGAGACUUUCAUGCAUACAGUAAAAUGAGUUGAUGACUUUA